UGGGGAAUUUUGGGCAAUGGGCGCAAGCCUGAUCCAGCCAUGCCGCGUGAGUGAAGAAGGCCUUCGGGUUGUAAAGCUCUUUCGGCGGGGACGAAACGGUUCGUGACAACACCACGGACUAAUGACGGUACCCGCAUAAGAAGCACCGGCUAACUACGUGCCAGCAGCCGCGGUAAUACGUAGGGUGCAGGCGUUAAUCGGAAUUACUGGGCGUAAAGCGUGCGCAGGCGGUUUGUUAAGACAGGUGUGAAAUCCCCGGGCUUAACCUGGGAAUUGCGCUUGAAACUAGCGGGCUUGAGUGUGGCAGAGGGGGGUGGAAUUCCACGUGUAGCAGUGAAAUGCGUAGAGAUGUGGAGGAACACCGAUGGCGAAGGCAGCCCCCUGGGUCAACACUGACGCUGAGGCACGAAAGCGUGGGGAGCGAACAGGAUUAGAUACCCCAGUAGUCCCUGAGCGGGCUGGCAAGGCGCAU
rnacentral:rRNA from 1 species